CGAGUACUUCUAUCUUUUUUCUUGAGCUGAAUACUUACCCUGCUUAAACUCAAUAAAAUCAUUGCUUGCUUUUAGCCUUAAAAUAAUGUAAUGUGGAAUUUCCCUAUGAAUUUUCAUUUGCUAAAAUUAGAUCAGACUGUAUAUAUCUUUUCUUAGUUGUCUUAGAGUUCCAAAAUGAUUUUAGAGGUGUACUUGGUCAUUAUUGUGGUGCUUCCAUGUAGUGAGGGUCCAGAUAGAUUGCAAUGGUGUUUGAGAGGCAUUUGGGUGUUUGAUGUUCUGUCUUCUAUGGUUUGUUGUGAGGCGGCCCAAGGGAGAUUUCUUUUCCCUGAAUAGAAAGUUGAUGGACCCCAAUGGGAUACUGAACCCAUAUAAAGUUCUUCCAUACUCAAUUGUUUCUUACAGCUGAGAUAAGCUGAAAUUCAACAUUCCCUGAGGUAGCAAGCAUGAUGGUUUUGUCUCAAGUUGUAGCAAGUGGACAUAACUGAGCUACAGCUCAGUGGGAUGCAAUUCUAUUAAACUAUGAAGUUAGAGAUGUUCAAUACUAUCUGGCAUCUGAUUGGAGAAGGAGCAAGUUCUAUUAAAUAGAAAGCACUAGUAAUUGUAUGGCACUUGAAGAUAGUAAUCUCCAUGCCGUGGCAAUGAGUUGUGUAGUUGAUGAGUACCUAAACAGUACUGAAGAUUAAAUGAAAUAAAAGCAUAUUCCUAUGAA